AAGAAAGUGACUGCCGCCCCGCACAGGGGCAACGCUAAUAGACCGACACGAAAACAGGAUUUCACGCACGCACCCGCGAAUAAACCAGACGACUGCCGCCCCCC
rnacentral:sRNA from 1 species